UACGCUUGAUGCACCACUACCUUUCUAACCUCACACCCUCACCUGUUUACCCCUACGUCCUCAAGACCUGCUUCUUUGUUUGAUCACCAAUAAAUAAUGUGGGCUCCCAGAGCUCAGGGCCUUCGCAGCAUCCAUACCAGCGUUGGCCCCCUGGACCCACCUUAUGCACUCUUAACUUGUCUUUUCUCAUUCCUUUGACUACGCUGGAGUUUGUAGCCCCCACGGCCUGGUGUUGGGUCUGAUCACCCCAACAUUUCUGGCACCCAACGUGGGGCUACGAACACUCCGGUGAAGGAACACUAGAGUGUGCGGAAGCGGAGGACACAUUGUCAGAGGACACCCAAGGACGACUGAAAGAAGCUUGGUGGAAUUCAUAUAAAGUUGCGAGUUUCAGGUUGGUUGGCUCUGACUGAUCACCUGUAUUAUGGACCAUCUGUGUGAUUAUGGGGAAAAGUUCAGGACACCAGCAACCUACAUUGGAUAGGACCACCUCUGACUCCAGGGAUUGCCACUCAAUCUUUCUGAGAUUAGCACCCACAUCCAACAAGGUGUGAUCCUGGUGAUCUUUGAAAAAAAGGCACUGAAACAACCAUGAUUUAAGUUUUUGGUAUUAUGAAUGCAUGAGAAAUUUUCUGGGAAAAAAUCAUAACUAUAUUAAGAAUAAAAAAUAAAAAAUUCCUAAGGAAAAUACUUGA
rnacentral:lncRNA from 10 species